GAAGGACCAGCCGGCGAGAAAAGCUUCGGUCGCAUAAGAGUCAAAAGAAAUAUCCACGUCGCCGCCGCCGCCGCUUGGCGUCUAUAGUUAGGGCGGAAGCCGGGCAAAUCACGCGGUGUUUAAGAGACGGAAGUAUGUUAGUGAGCUGUGCUCCAUUUUCUUCCUAAGAAGAGGCUUCAGGCGUCUUAAAGCAAUGGGGCGAUUGAUGGAAUUACCGCCGUGCUAAUUUCUGCGAGUGCGGAUCAUGCAUUUUGUAAAAUGCAUCUACGGUACUAGGUUCCCGUGGGUGGAAUUAGAAGCAUGUUUUCGGCUGUAUGGCCCUGGGUUUAUAUAAUGAAUUUUGGAGCAUAUUCUGCAGCAUUUCCAUGUAAUCUUUCCUUAGUCUUCUUUCUGAUGUUAUGAUAGUUUUAGAGUCAGACGAUACUUCUUUGAGAUUUCUUGUUUCUGGACCUUGGGAUGAUGUAGCUAUUGUAAUUUUUUUUAAAGAUGCACUUAAAUCACAACCCAAGAGCUGGAAGGAGCCAAGGAGAUACCAUCCUAAGAGCCCAAGAACACUCCCCCCAGAGCUCCAAAGCCCCACGUUUGUCAAGUCAUUCUUACUCAUGGCACUGUGGAAUGGGUGAAGAAGAAAUGAUUCUACAGGGGCAGGCUAGAGGCCUGAAGCUUUGCUGGAUAAAUUAAAUUGUUGCAAUUGUUGUUGAAGCCUAGGAUAGAAGAAGUCAGAAAGCAUUGCUUUAGGCCACUAAAUCCAAUGUUCUGCUCCAUGCAAGAAUCUGAAUUAAAAUGCUGAAUAUAGCUGGAGUUGGACAGCUAAUAAAUAGGAUUCUCUUUUGUGACA
rnacentral:lncRNA from 1 species